UGAGAAAACACUGGACUUUGGAGCUAACGAAACUAUCCAAACUGAAGAGCCAGAGUCAGAAAACAAGGGCAAACAUCCUCAGACAGUGGCAGAGAUGAAAAUUAGCUGCUGACAGGUGGGCUGCUCUCCUACACGUCUCCCCACAGCGGUAGAUUCCAUCCUCAAAGCUGCCUCGUGAUUACCAGAGAGCUGCUGUACAUGAGCUUGGGCAUUCCAGGCAGAAAGAAGGAAGGGAAGAGGAGAAGUGGGUGCCUGCCAGAAUGCUCCCAUGUCCCACCAGCAGGGCCCCAAACUCCCCAAGGAUAGAAGCUCCUUUGUCCAGGACCUUGCCCCCGUGUACCUCUUCAUCUGGCUGUUGAUGUGUAUCCUUCUUAUAACCUUUAAUAACCUGGGAAACAUAAGUUUGCAAAUUUGCCAGAAGGACUUCGAAGGCUGCUGCAGGCAUCCCACUAGCCACAGCAGAGAAGCCUCAGGGCAGCCAGAGCUUUACAGACCAGCUGAAGCAGGUGCUGGAAUGCAACUGGAGUGAAAAAAGCAAGGAUGUGGACUGGGUGAACAGGUGUCCCUUACACAGCUUUGUAUAAAGCUUAGAGACUGAAAUACCUGGUUCUUCAAGUCACGACUCUUCUUAAUUAGAAUGUGGUGAGACCUAAGUUUUAUUUUAUUUUUAUUUUAGGAUAAGAACUACUAUAGAAGAAGAGGCUGAGUGGAAGCCCCUAAAACUACCCAUCUCCACUUCCAGCCAAGAUAGUACAUAAAAACUAUAUCCCAUCUCAGAGGGGCAAGGCAGAGAUCAGAGCCACCUUCAAAUAUGUAAAGGAUGCAGGGAUGGUGGCUCCCACUUAAUGACAUUCUGACAUCUACAAAACCCAUAUGAUAGAUGACUGUGUACUACUUGAACUUAACCAAGGAGUAUCCCAGUGGCAGCUGCUAGGCUGGACAUGGUAUCUUUACUAGAGCAGAUUAACAGCCUUGAGUAUGUAGUAUGUGGUAUUGGUCAGGUGAAUAUAUUCUUUUCCCUAUCAAUCAAAGAGAGGAUCAGAGUAGUUUUAAUUCUCAUGGAAUGACAAUGGCAUAUUCACAGGAUUACCCCAAGACUAUGUUAGUUCUCCCAUUUUCGGUCACAGGAACCUGUAUUAUCUGUAUAUCUUACAAAAAUUACAUAGGCUAUUUUGAGGACACAUAUUAGUGAGCAAGAUGUAGCAUGCACUCUAGAAGCCUUGUUAGAUAUGUAUCAUCUAGAGGCUGAGAAAUUAACCCUGCAAAGAUCCAGAGACCUGCCAGAUUAGCGCAGGACAUGCAGGGAUAGGCCCCAGUAAAGGAUGGUUAUUGCACCAUUUCCUCCCUACCUGU